rnacentral:rRNA from 1 species
ACCGUACUCCUACGGGAGGCAGCAGUGGGGAAUAUUGCACAAUGGGCGCAAGCCUGAUGCAGCUACGCCGCGUGAGGGAUGACGGCCUUCGGGUUGUAAACCUCUUUCAGUAGGGAAGAAGCGAAAGUGACGGUACCUGCAGAAGAAGCACCGGCUAAUUACGUGCCAGCAGCCGCGGUAAUACGUAGGGUGCGAGCGUUAUCCGGAAUUAUUGGGCGUAAAGAGCUCUUAGGCGGUUUGUCGCGUCUGUCGUGAAAGUCCGGGGCUUAACCCCGGAUCUGCGGUGGGUACGGGCAGACUAGAGUGCAGUAGGGGAGACUGGAAUUCCUGGUGUAGCGGUGGAAUGCGCAGAUAUCAGGAGGAACACCGAUGGCGAAGGCAGGUCUCUGGGCCAUUACUGACGCCGAGGAGCGAAAGCAUGGGGAGCGAACAGGAUUAGAAACCCGAGUAGUCCUUGAC